AGCGAACGCUGGCGGCAGGCCUAACACAUGCAAGUCGAGCGGCCGUAGCAAUACGGCAGCGGCAGACGGGAGAGUAACACGUGGGAACGUGCCCUUUGGUUCGGAACAACACAGGGAAACUUGUGCUAAUACCGGAUAAGCCCUUACGGGGAAAGAUUUAUCGCCAAAGGAUCGGCCCGCGUCUGAUUAGCUAGUUGGUGGGGUAACGGCCCACCAAGGCGACGAUCAGUAGCUGGUCUGAGAGGAUGAUCAGCCUCACUGGGACUGAGA
rnacentral:rRNA from 1 species